CUCAAUGUAAUUUCUCUUCUCUACAAAAUUAUUGAAAUACCAUAGCCAUUAUUCAAUUCAUUUUAGUUAUAUUUAAGUAUAAGUUAUAGUGAUGAACAUAAGUGUAUUUGGUACUAUAUAUAGUACAUGAAUACUCAGACUAAAUUCAAUCUUUGUAGGGUUGCAUUUAUAUUGUUGAUGCAUAUAAAGUUUACUGGAGUAGCUGUGUUACAGGGAUUCACGCUGGACAAAUGGUUCUGCGGCUAGUUGAAGCAAUUGAUGUUUAUCUUGCUGGGACUGUCAUGUUGAUCUUUGGCAUGGGCUUAUACGGAUUGUUUAUCAGUAAUGUGCCUCCUGAUG